GAUGAAGAACGUAGCGAAAUGCGAUACGUAAUGUGAAUUGCAGAAUUCAGUGAAUCAUCGAGUCUUUGAACGCACAUUGCGCCCCCUGGUAUUCCGGGGGGCAUGCCUGUCCGAGCGUCAUUGCUGCCCUCAAGCACGGCUUGUGUGUUGGGCCCCGUCCUCCGAUCCCGGGGGACGGGCCCGAAAGGCAGCGGCGGCACCGCGUCCGGUCCUCGAGCGUAUGGGGCUUUGUCACCCGCUCUGUAGGCCCGGCCGGCGCUUGCCGAUCAACCCAAAUUUUUUAUCCAGGUUGACCUCGGAUCAGGUAGGGAUACCCGCUGAACUUAAGCAUAUCAAUAAGCGGAGGA
rnacentral:misc_RNA from 1 species